rnacentral:rRNA from 1 species
GACGAACGCUGGCGGCGUGCUUAACACAUGCAAGUCGAACGGAAAGGCCCUGCUUGCAGGGUACUCGAGUGGCGAACGGGUGAGUAACACGUGGGUGAUCUGCCCUGCACUUCGGGAUAGGCUUGGGAAACUGGGUCUACUACCGGAUAGUAACCAUCUUUAGUGUGGUGGUUGGAAAGUUUUUUCGGUGUAGGAUGAGCUCGCGGCCUAUCAGCUUGUUGGUGGGGUAAUGGCCUACCAAGGCGGCGACGGGUAGCCGGCCUGAGAGGGUGUACGGCCACAUUGGGACUGAGAUACGGCCCAGACUCCUACGGGAGGCAGCAGUGGGGAAUAUUGCACAAUGGGCGCAAGCCUGAUGCAGCGACGCCGCGUGGGGGAUGAAGGCCUUCGGGUUGUAAACUCCUUUCGCUAGGGACGAAGCUUUGUUGUGACGGUACCUAGAGAAGAAGCACCGGCUAACUACGUG